AAAAUCUAAACCUGAAAACUAUAGGCCCAUCUCUCUAACCUGUAUUCUUAGUAAAUCACUAGAACAUAUAAUUGUAUCAUCCAUAAUGAAACAUCUAGACAUUCACGAUUUACUAUACCCACUGCAGCAUGGUUUUAGAUCAAAAGUUAGCUGUGAAACACAACUUUUAACUUUUACACAGCAAAUACUUGAUUACAUGGCAAACGGUAAACAAACUGACGUAGUUGUCAUGGAUUUUUCAAAAGCGUUUGAUAAGGUGGACCACCAAAGACUUAUCCUAAAACUGAAACGCAUGGGAAUAAAUAACAAAACAACAAAUUGGAUAGAGGCAUGGUUAUCACAUAGAUCCCAAAAAGUGGUGGUUGACAGUCGCACAUCAAAUAGUUGUCCUGUAUUGUCAGGCGUCCCCAAGGCUCUGUUCUCGGGCCAUGUCUGUUCUUAAUUUACAUCAAUGACAUGCCAGACAACCUCAAAAGUAAUGUUCGCCUCUUUGCAGAUGACACUAUUGUGUAUCUAACAAUUUCAUCAUUAGAUGACUGUCACACCCUUCAAUCAGACCUACAUAAACUGGAACAAUGGGAGCAAGAAUGGCUUAUGUCCUUUAACCCAGACAAAUGUGAAAUCAUCCACAUAACAAGAAAACAUAAACCAAUCAUCUAUAAAUACACAUUACAUAAUCAUAUUCUAAAAUCAACAAACAAAGCAAAAUAUCUUGGCGUUUCCAUCACAAAAGACCUGACAUGGAACUCUCAUAUAAAUGACAUCACAAACAAAGCAAACGCAUCACUGAGAUUUAUUAAAAGAAAUGUAAAAACAAACAGCAUAAAAACAAAAGAACUGGCUUACAAAACAUACGUAAGACCAAAAAUAGAAUACUGUAGUGUCGUCUGGGACCCUGGCAGAAACAACAAAUACAUAAAAAUUGAAAUGGUACAGAGAAGAGCUGCCAGGUAUACACUCAACCAAUACAGCUAUCAAAGCAGUGUAACAGCCAUGCUUGAACAUCUAAGAUGGCCAACAUUACAACAAAGAAGAAAUCUUGCAUCCGUCACCAUGCUAUAUAAAAUCCAACACCAAUUAGUCUCCAUCCCAGUAAAUACAUACCUAAUACCAUCUAAGGAACAUAAAUUUAUACAGCCAUUCUCUCCCACAAACUAUCAUUUAUAUUCAUUUUUUCCUAGAACAAUAAGGUUGUGGAAUUCCCUACCAUACCAAG
rnacentral:lncRNA from 1 species